CGAGCUGCCUCAGUCUCAAAAGAUCGGUUCGCUAUGCUAGCAAACAAUAAUCUGCAGAUUGUCAACAUCAGUAAGAGUGACGAAGGUAUAUACAGGUGUGAAGGGAGAGUGGAGGCUCAGGGAGAAAUUGACUUCCGUGAUAUCAUUGUGAUCGUUAACGUGCCGCCAGCAAUCGCAAUGCCUCAGAAAUCCUUUAAUGCCACAGCAGAGAGAGGCGAAGAGAUGACCUUAUCCUGCAGGGCCUCUGGCUCUCCAGAACCCACCAUCAGCUGGUACGGGAAUGACAAGCUCCUUGAAGAAAAUGAAAAGUACCUUUUAAAAGGAAGCAAUACAGGACUUACUGUCAGUAACAUUAUCAGUAGUGAUGGGGGCCCUUAUGUCUGUAGGGCCACAGAUAAGGCAGGAGAAGAUGAAAAACAUGCCCUUCUCCAAGUUUUUGUACAGCCUCACAUAAUACAGCUUAAAAAUGAGAUUACACAUGAAAAUGGUCAAGUCACACUUAUUUGUGAAGCAGAAGGGGAGCCUAUUCCAGAAAUCACUUGGAAAAGAGCCGUGGAUGACAUCACGUUUUCUGAAGGAGAUAAGAGCCCAGACGGCCGUAUCGAUGUCCGAGGGCAGCACGGAAGUUUGUCGCUGCACAUUAUGGAUGUGAAGUUGUCAGACUCGGGGAGGUAUGACUUCGAAGCUGCAAGUAGAAUUGGCAGACACCAAAAGAGCAUGUACCUUGAUAUUGAAUAUGCUCUAUCAAAGUUUAUAUCAAACCAAACCAUUUAUUACUUUGGGGAAGGAAAUCCAAUCAAUAUAAGCUGUGAUGUGAAAUCUAAUCCACCAGCAUCAAUCCACUGGAGAAGAGAUAAAUUAAUAUUACCAGCUAAGAACACCACAAUAAAGACAUAUAGAACAGGAAGAAAGAUGAUAUUGGAGAUUGCACCUAUAUCUAACGAUGACUUUGGGCCAUAUAACUGCACAGCCACUAAUGAUAUAGGAACCAGAUUUCAAGAAUAUGUUCUUGCUUUGGCUGAUGUGCCGUCCAGUCCCUAUAGAGUGAGGAUUAUAGAGUUGUCACAGACCAUGGCCAAAGUUUCCUUUAACAAACCGGAUUCCCAUGGAGGUGUGCCUAUUCAUCACUAUCAAGUGGAUGUCAAAGAAGUGGCAUCAGAAACCUGGAAAAUAGUACUCUCCCAUGGAGUUCAAACAACGGUUGUUUUGAACAACCUGGAACCAAAUACAACAUAUGAAAUCAGGGUUGCAGCUGUAAAUGGAAAAGGGCAAGGAGACUACAGUAAAACAGAAAUCUUCCGAACACUACCAGUUCGUGAACCAAGUCCUCCAUCAAUCCAUGGACAGCUAAGCAGCGGGAAGAGCUUUAAACUCAGCAUCACCAAACAGGAUGAUGGAGGGGCCCCUAUUUUGGAAUAUAUGGUAAAAUAUAGAAGUAAAGAUAAGGAAGACCAGUGGCUAGAGAAAAAAGUACAGGGAAAUAAAGAUCAUAUUAUUUUGGAGCAUCUACAGUGGACAAUAGGGUAUGAGAUGCAAAUAACAGCUGCCAACAGAUUGGGAUAUUCUGAACCAACAAUCUAUGAGUUCAACAUGCCGCCAAAGCCCAAUAUUAUUAAAGAAAAAUGCUGUGAAGCGAAUAAAAGUGGAAAUGAAAGCCAGUCAUGGCAGCUGAAUGCUGCUGGGUUUUCUUUUAUUAUAGCCGUAAGUUUGUCUUGCAUGUUUUAA